rnacentral:tRNA from 2 species
GCCCGCGUGAUGGAAUGGUAGACAUAACGGACUUAAAAUCCGUGGAGCGUGAGCUCUUGCCGGUUCAAGUCCGGCCGCGGGUACCA